rnacentral:rRNA from 1 species
AUACGGAGGGGGCUAGCGUUGUUCGGAAUUACUGGGCGUAAAGCGUACGUAGGCGGACUGAUCAGUUGGGGGUGAAAUCCCAGGGCUUAACCCUGGAACUGCCUUCAAUACUGUCAGUCUUGAGUCCGGAAGAGGUGAGUGGAAUUCCUGGUGUAGAGGUGAAAUUCAUAGAUAUCAGGAGGAACACCAGUGGCGAAGGCGGCUCACUGGUCCGGUACUGACGCUGAGGUACGAAAGCGUGGGGAGCAAACAGGAUUAGAAACCCGAGUAGUCC